rnacentral:rRNA from 1 species
GAUUAAUGCCUCAUGGUAUUGUAGACUGGCAUCAGUUUAUAAUUAAAGAUUUAUCGGUAAAAGAUGGCUAUGCGUCCUAUUAGUUAGUUGGUAAGGUAACGGCUUACCAAGACAGCGAUAGGUAGGGGUCCUGAGAGGGAGAUCCCCCACACUGGUACUGAGACACGGACCAGACUCCUACGGGAGGCAGCAGUGAGGAAUAUUGGACAAUGGAGGAGACUCUGAUCCAGCCAUGCCGCGUGUAGGAAGAAUGCCCUAUGGGUUGUAAAC